UACAGAGGUCCCGAGCGUUGUUCGGAUUCACUGGGCGUAAAGGGUGCGUAGGUGGUUAGGUAAGUCCGAUGUGAAAUCUCCAGGCUCAACCUGGAAAUGGCAUUGGAUACUAUUUAGCUUGAGGAGUGGAGGGGGGACUGGAAUUCUCGGUGUAGCAGUGAAAUGCGUAGAUAUCGAGAGGAACACCAGUGGCGAAGGCGGGUCUCUGGACAGUUCCUGACACUGAGGCACGAAGGCCAGGGGAGCAAACGGG
rnacentral:rRNA from 1 species